rnacentral:rRNA from 1 species
GGCUACUACAUCCAAGGAAGGCAGCAGGCGCGCAAAUUACCCAAUCCCGACGCGGGGAGGUAGUGACAAUAAAUACUGAUACAGGGCUCUUUUGGGUCUUGUAAUUGGAAUGAGUACAAUUUAAUUCCCUUAACGAGGAACAAUUGGAGGGCAAGUCUGGUGCCAGCAGCCGCGGUAAUUCCAGCUCCAAUAGCGUAUAUUAAAGUUGUUGCAGUUAAAAAGCUCGUAGUUGAACCUUGGGCCUGGCUGGCGGUCCGCCUCACCGCGUGCACUGGUCCGGCCGGGCCUUUCCCUCUGGGGAGCCGCAUGCCCUUUGCUGGGAGUGUCGGGGAACCAGGACUUUUACUUUGAAAAAAUUAGAGUGUUCAAAGCAGGCUUAUGCUCGAAUACAUUAGCAUGGAAUAAUAGAAUAGGACGUGUGGUUCUAUUUUGUUGGUUUCUAGGACCGCCGUAAUGAUUAAUAGGGACAGUCGGGGGCAUCAGU